rnacentral:rRNA from 1 species
AACGAACGCUGGCGGCGGGCCUAACACAUGCAAGUCGAGCGAGAUCUUCGGGUCUAGCGGCGGACGGGUGAGUAACGCGUGGGAAUAUGCCUCUUGGUACGGAAUAGCCUCGGGAAACUGGGAGUAAUACCGUAUGUGCCCUUUGGGGGAAAGAUUUAUCGCCAAGAGAUUAGCCCGCGUUGGAUUAGGUAGUUGGUGGGGUAAUGGCCUACCAAGCCGACGAUCCAUAGCUGGUUUGAGAGGAUGAUCAGCCACACUGGGACUGAGACACGGCCCAGACUCCUACGGGAGGCAGCAGUGGGGAAUCUUAGACAAUGGGGGCAACCCUGAUCUAGCCAUGCCGCGUGAGUGAUGAAGGCCUUAGGGUUGUAAAGCUCUUUCAGCUGGGAAGAUAAUGACGGGACCAGCAGAAGAAGCCCCGGCUAACUCCGU